GACGUAGGGGGCCAGCGUUGUUCGGAAUUACUGGGUGUAAAGGGUUCGUAGGCGGUGCGGCAAGUUGGGAGUGAAAUCUCUGGGCUUAACCCAGAGGCUGCUUCCAAAACUGCUGUGCUUGAGUGUGGGAGAGGCGCGUGGAAUUGCAGGUGUAGCGGUGAAAUGCGUAGAUAUCGAGAGGAACACCUGCGGCGAAGGCGGGUUGCUGGGCCGACACUGACGCUGAUGCGCGAAAGCCAGGGGAGCGAACGGG
rnacentral:rRNA from 1 species